GGGGCUGUCCUGGUUUCGACGUGGGUGCGGGACCGGUGUGGUGCAUGCCGAGCUUGAGUGACGCUCGUAAAUCUCCAUUCAAAAAACUAACUGCAAACGACGAACGUUUCGCACUCGCCGCUUAAAUCCGGUGAGCCUUGCAACAGCACGCUGAUGGGCUGGGCAAGGGGGUAGCAAUACCUCCCGGCUGCAAGGGAAUUCACAUCAGCUGGCUGUGUGCUGGGCUUCUUAGUACAUGGCGAGAUCCAAGGAAGCUGGCGUCUCGGGCAGCGUGCAUCUGCGCGGCCCGGGAAGCGAGACUCAAACCAGAAUGCUAAGCAUGUAGAUCUGCCCGGCGAAGGCUUGCGGACGCGGGUUCAAUUCCCGCCAGCUCCACCA
rnacentral:tmRNA from 1 species